UACGUAGGGUGCGAGCGUUAAUCGGAAUUACUGGGCGUAAAGCGUGCGCAGGCGGUUUUGUAAGCCAGAUGUGAAAUCCCCGGGCUUAACCUGGGAAUGGCAUUUGGGACUGCAAGGCUUGAGUGCGGCAGAGGAGACUGGAAUUCCUGGUGUAGCAGUGAAAUGCGUAGAUAUCAGGAGGAACGCCGAUGGCGAAGGCAGGUCUCUGGGCUGACACUGACGCUCAUGCACGAAAGCGUGGGGAGCAAACAGG
rnacentral:rRNA from 1 species